CUAAGAAUCUUCGGCAAUGGCCUAACGGCUGACCGAGCGACGCCGCGUGGACGAAGAAGGCCGCAAGGUUGUAAAGUCCUUUUCUUGACGAAGAAUAAGGCAGGGAAUGGAAAGCCCUGCUGAUGACGUUAGUCGAGGAAGAAGCCCCGGCCAAUUACGUGCCAGCAGCCGCGGUAACACGUAUGGGGCGAGCGUUGUUCGGAAUUACUGGGCGUAAAGGGCGUGUAGGCGGUUCGGCAAGCAUGGUGUGAAAGUCUCCGGCCCAACCGGAGGAUUGCGCUGGGAACAGCCUGGCUUGAGUGCUGGAGGGAGAACUGGAAUUCCUGGUGUAGGUGUGAAAUCUGUAGAGAUCAGGAAGAACACCGGUGGCGAAUGCGGGCUCCUGGCCAGACACUGACGCUGGAGCGCGAAAGCGUGGGGAGCGAACAG
rnacentral:rRNA from 1 species